rnacentral:rRNA from 1 species
UACAGAGGGUGCGAGCGUUAAUCGGAAUUACUGGGCGUAAAGCGCACGUAGGUGGCGACGUAAGUCGGGUGUGAAAUCCCUGGGCUUAACCUGGGAACUGCAUUGGUGACUGCAUUGCUGGAGUAUGGCAGAGGGGGGUGGAAUUCCACGUGUAGCAGUGAAAUGCGUAGAGAUGUGGAGGAACACCGAUGGCGAAGGCAGCCCCCUGGGCCAAUACUGACGCUCAUGCACGAAAGCGUGGGGAGCAAACAGG